rnacentral:misc_RNA from 1 species
AUAUUUGCCAUGAACACCACUCAAAGGUACCGCUUAUAGUCAUAUCUGUAAGUAAAACAUACCUAAACAUAAUUUUUGUUGAUUAUUUAAUUUCCAUACAUACCCUUAACAAUCAGUAAACCCUAAAACACAUUUAUCAUUAUACAUUUCACGUGAUUUUGCUGUUGUUAUAUGCUUGAAAAUUCUCUUCAAGUAACUGUCCUGGUGCUGUGUACAUCAUUUUUGGGGGUUUAUGUUGCACUGUG